AUAUUGCCAUUUUGACAAUAUUAAUUCUUAAGAAAUGGUUUGAGGCCUUGCCCUGCUCCAUCCAGAGCAAGUUUCUAGAAAUUUUAAACAAAU
rnacentral:snoRNA from 1 species